UUGUAGGGAAUUCCGACCGGUGAUGUUCUGAUAUUUGCCAAUUGGAGGCUAAGCACACUGACACAAUAUUUAACGUGGUUCGGAAAACCGCCUACAUCCACGGGAGAAGCCAUUGCAUUAUAUAGGGAGAGUACAAGAUUUACAACAAUAGAGGAGGAGGAAUCAUCCCCUCUUUGGCAACUCUCAACCUCACUCUAUUUCUCUCUUUUUAGUGCUGCAAUGGCAGCUACUGCUGGCUGCCUUGGCAGCCCACUCUCUCCUACAUUUCUCACAUCUUUGGC
rnacentral:lncRNA from 1 species